rnacentral:misc_RNA from 1 species
UCCGGCUUGACGCCGGCAGUCUCGCUAGAGUACUCGGCAUUACCCGUGAGCAACUAACGACAGGGGUUGCGCUCGUUAGAGGACUUAACCCGACACUUCACAGCACGAGCUGACGACAGCCAUGCAGCACCUGUGCUUGUUCCGGUCUUGCGACUGUGGCUCCUGUUUCCAGGAGUUGAUCCAAGCAUGUCAAACCCAGGUAAGGUUCUUCGCGUUGCCUCGAAUUAAGCAACAUGCUCCACCGCUUGUGUGAGCCCCCGUCAAUUCAUUUGAGUUUUAGCCUUGCGACCGUACUCCCCAGGCGGUAUGCUUAUCGGUUUUCCUACGACUGAUACGGCGUCAAAACCGCACCAGUCUAGCAUACAUCGUUUACGGCGUGGACUAC